rnacentral:rRNA from 1 species
AGAGUAGGCGGGACUGCAAGUCCGUUGUUAAAUCUAUCGGCUCAACCGGUAGCUGCGGCGGAAACUGUAGUUCUUGAGUGAAGUAGAGGCAGGCGGAAUUCCUAGUGUAGCGGUGAAAUGCGUAGAUAUUAGGAGGAACACCAGUGGCGAAGGCGGCCUGCUGGGCUUUAACUGACGCUGAGGCUCGAAAGUGUGGGGAGCAAACA